rnacentral:rRNA from 1 species
CUCGGAAGCUAAGCGAGGGUCGGGCCUGGUUAGUAUCUUGGAUGGGAGACCACCUGGGAAUCCCGGGUGCUCGAGG